AUUUGUCUGGUUAAUUCCGAUAACGAACGAGACCUUAACCUGCUAACUAGAUUCUUCUAUACUAUAGAUGAUAUCUUCUUAGAGGGACUAUGUAAUACAAAUACAUGGAAGUUUGAGGCAAUAACAGGUCAGUGAUGCCCUUAUAUGUCCUGGGCUGCACGCGUGCUACACUGAUGCAUACAACAAGUGCCUAACCAGACAUGGUAUGGCAAUCUCGAAUAUGCAUCGUGAUGGGGAUAGAUCUUUGCAAUUAUAGAUCUUGAACGAGGAAUUCCUAGUAAGUGCAAGUCAUCAUCUUGCAUUGAUUAUGUCCCUGCCCUUUGUACACACCGCCCGUCGCUCCUACCGAUACCGGGUGAUCCGGUGAACCUUUUGGACUCAUUUGGGAAAGAUAAGUAAACCAUAUCACCUAGAGGAAGGAGAAGUCGUAACAAGGUUUCCGUAGGUGAACCUGCRGAAGGAUCA
rnacentral:rRNA from 1 species